rnacentral:tRNA from 1 species
GCCUGGCUGGCUCAGUUGUUGGAGCAUGCGACUCUUGAUCUCAGGGUCGUGAGUUCAAGCCCCACAGUGGGCA